GUGCUCCCAUCGGCAUGCACAAACACUUCACAACAUUGACAUUUACAUUACAGUCAUACUCUUCUAUUCUGGUUGUAAGCCAGAAAAUACAGGAUGGCCUCUCACCCAACAAGAUGACCUUGGUGGUUAGAGCCAUUCUCUCGAUAGUUGGUUUGAAACAAACCCUCCUAACUGUACCUGUGUUUCAACAAGGACACAUAGCCGGGGUCAAGAACCCUGCCCAAGGGGAUAGGCCUUCAUCAUUUCUUCUCU